AUUGAACGCUGGCGGCAUGCUUUACACAUGCAAGUCGAACGGCAGCGCGGGCUUCGGCCUGGCGGCGAGUGGCGAACGGGUGAGUAAUGCAUCGGAACGUGCCCAGUAGUGGGGGAUAGCGCGGCGAAAGCCGGAUUAAUACCGCAUACGACCUGAUGGUGAAAGCGGGGGAGCGAAAGGCCUCGCGCUAUUGGAGUGGCCGAUGUGGGAUUAGCUAGUUGGUGGGGUAAAGGCUUACCAAGGCGACGAUCCGUAGCUGGUCUGAGAGGACGACCAGCCACACUGGGACUGAGACACGGCCCAGACUCCUACGGGAGGCAGCAGUGGGGAAUUUUGGAUGAUGGGGGCAACCCUGAUCCAGCCAUGCCGCGUGCGGGAAGAAGGCCUUCGGGUUGUAAACCGCUUUUGUUCGGGAAGAAAUACUCUGGGCUAAUACCGCGGGGGGAUGACGGUACCGGAAGAAUAAGCACCGGCUAACUACGUG
rnacentral:rRNA from 1 species